GACAGAGGGGGCAAGCGUUGCUCGGAAUUACUGGGCGUAAAGGGCUCGUAGGCGGCCAACUAAGUCGGAUGUGAAAUCCCCAGGCUUAACCUGGGAACUGCAUCCGAUACUGGAUGGCUUGAAUCCGGGAGAGGGAUGCAGAAUUCCAGGUGUAGCGGUGAAAUGCGUAGAUAUCUGGAGGAAUACCGGUGGCGAAGGCGGCAUCCUGGACCGGCAUUGACGCUGAUGAGCGAAAGCUAGGGGAGCAAACGGG
rnacentral:rRNA from 1 species